rnacentral:misc_RNA from 1 species
GAUGAAGAACGCAGCGAAAUGCGAUAAGUAGUGUGAAUUGCAGAAUUCAGUGAAUCAUCGAAUCUUUGAACGCACAUUGCGCCCUUUGGUAUUCCAAAGGGCAUGCCUGUUCGAGCGUCAUUUGUACCCUCAAGCUCAGCUUGGUGUUGGGCCCCGCCGCCCCGGCGGGCCCUAAAGUCAGUGGCGGUGCCGUCCGGCUCCGAGCGUAGUAAUUCUUCUCGCUCUGGAGGUCCGGUCGUGUGCUCGCCAGCAACCCCCAAUUUUUUUCAGGUUGACCUCGGAUCAGGUAGGGAUACCCGCUGAACUUAAGCAUAUCAAUAAGCGGAGGA